GCCCCUCCCCGACUCAUGCUCUGUCUCUGUCUCUCAAAAAUGAAUAAAUGUCAAAAAAAUUUUAAAAAAGAAAUGACCUACAUUACAGCUGUAACUGUAUAUGCUGAACCUUAUGCAGAAUGAUAAUAGAACUUAACUGAGUAGUCAGUAACUUGUAUCCAAAAGCUACCAUCAUCACAUAUGCCAAGGGAAGCAUCGGUGAGUAUAUUUAAGAUGCAUUUAAAUGAAAAAAACAAACAAACAAAAACAAAACAAAACAAAAAAAACAGAAAUAGUGAAGUAGAGAAAUCCUGAUUGUAGGAUGAAUAAAGCCAUAUUUUGUUAAACCCAAAUGCUUACAAGAUUAUAUACAGAAAGAUAAUUUGUGCACAGCAUGUAAAUAAUCAUGAUGCUCAGUGGGAAUUAUUUGCAUUUUAAUUGCUACUAGUAAUGGAGACAGUUGUGUCUUCUUAUUUUCAUUAGAAAGAAUGGUUUACCAUAAAUGUAAUUCAAGUUUUUAUCUUAAAAAUGGUACUCUAAAAAUCUUGGUCACAUUCUUCUUUUAUUUGAUGUUCUUCUCUUUACCUCUGUUUCGUUUGUUGCUGUUGUCGUUUAAAUCAACUGUUCUAACUGAUUGAAUAGGGCUCAAGGUAGUCUGUGUAUGGUUUUCUGAAAGCCAGCCUGCAGGCUGAAUUAGAAACAGCAAUUGUCUCUUUGAAGAGAGGAGUUGAAUUUGAAGUGUCAUUAGUUUAAGUGCCAGGGUAGUACCCUACAGCCUUGGUUACUUUUUACACACCAUAUCCUUAAAACACUUCUACUAUAACUUUCUUCAUGUUGUUUUUAAAUGGUGUACCUUUUACUUUAGUAAACUUUCUUUAAAUGAGAAUUUUAGAUGAUGACUUCAGAUAGAAAACCAGUAUCCUGUGCCACAAUAGAUGAGGGCCACAAAAAGAAAUAAUGGUGAAAAGAAGAAAAUAUUAUUGAAUUCUAGUUAAAAGCUGGAGCUUGCCAAGGCACUGAGCCUAAGGCUUUCUCUCUUUUGUUUACUUUGUGUCUCUCCUACUCUCUCCUUCUUUUUUGGUAAAGUGUAAAGAUGUGUUGAAGACACCAAAUGGAGACUUUCUUUAGACAUAUUGAGGCGUGUAGGGAAAUUGAAAAGGGAAGAACUUUCUCACAAUAUGAUUUAGUGGAAUGAACAUCUUCCCCAAACUCCACAUUACCUUCACCUUAGAAAACAGUGCCCCAGGAAAGCCAUCUAACAACUCCUAAGUUUAACAAUUGGGGGUGAUAGUGUACAACUCUCCAAGGGAAGCCAAGUUGGACCCAUGGCUCUUAUUCUCCAAGAUUCUUUUUCCCUUUGGGGAUUUUCACCAACUGCUGCUGCUGCCACCACAAUGGCCUCCAGGUGAGCCUUCCCGGACAUUCUGGCUCAAGCAGGAACAGAGGCUUCCCUCCUUACUUCCUCCUGGAAAUUUAAAUAAGACUUUACAAGCAAAUGGCUUAAUAAAAAGGAAACACACAGAAUGACUUAGUCUUCCUUUUCCUCUUUGGUUUGGAGUUUCCCAGAGACAGUGGUUCUCAAACUUAAGCUUGCAUGGAAAUCACCUGGAAGGCUUAUUAAAGGAGGGUGUGCUGGACUUACUCCCAAAAUUCUGAUUCAACAGGCCUGUGUUGGGGCUGAGACUUUACAUUUCAAACAAGGGAGCAGGUGAGGCUCUGGCUGCUGGCCGGGGAAUCACCCUGGGAGAACCACUAUCCAGAGGAGACCUGUUACUGCCUGGUGUCUACUGCCUGCCUGCUUUUCUGAAGGCCCAUAUUUGAGCUCUGUGUACAUAGUCCAAGAGAUUUAACUUCAAGAAAAAAUUAUGUUCAAGUCAGGAGAAAAUAGCUGAUUGAGAAACAUUGACGAUAAAUUCCCAAUACUACUAAGGAAAAUGUCACUACAAAGUGAAGCAAACCUGGCUGAGAGUCUCAAGAUGGCAGACAGGACAGUGAUGGGGUCCUCAACAGCUCCAGCAGCAGUGGGGAUAAAGAGGACAUACAACGUGAAGGCUGAUUGGAGGAGGUUUCCAACUCACUCAAGUCAAACAUCAGGAGAGGAAGCAGCCCCUGAGCUCCCUUCCUCCCCAGCCAGCCCACCCUUGCAUCAGAGCCAGAAGUCCCAUAGUGCUGCCGGAAUAUCUUUGCCAGCCCUUACCCUUAUCCCACGGUCAUGUAGUGGUGGAUUUAUUUGUCUUUCCCCCUAGACCGUGAGGUCCUUGGUACCUCCACAGUCUGACACAUUGCAGUCAAUCCUGUUACUGAGUAAAGGAAUGAGGUACUUAAAAUAUGUACAAAUAAAAAUGUAGCACAAGUUGCCAUAUUUACUUAAAAUGAGCUUCCCUAAGAUGCUCAAAUGCUGGGCGUGGUAUCAAAGUUCAAAUUUCUCACGGACCAUAAAGAAAGUGAAAACACCA